rnacentral:misc_RNA from 1 species
GAUGAAGAACGUAGUGAAAUGCGAUAAGUAAUGUGAAUUGCAGAAUUCAGUGAAUCAUCGAAUCUUUGAACGCACCUUGCGCCCUUUGGCUAUUCCGAAGGGCAUGCCUGUUUGAGUAUCAUGAACACCUCAACCCUCAUGGUUUGCCAUGACGGGCUUGGACUUUGGGGGUCUUGCUGGAUUGUAGUCAGCUCCCCUUAAACAAAUCAGCUUGCCAGUGUUUGGUGGCAUCACAGGUGUGAUAACUAUCUACGCUUGUGGUUUUACAUCAGAUAACCUUCAGUGAUGGAGGUUCACUGGAGCUCAUAAAGGUGUCUCUCCUCUGUGAGGACAGCUCUUUGAAUGUUUGAUCUCAAAUCAGGCAGGACUACCCGCUGAACUUAAGCAUAUCAAUAAGCGGAGGA